GUCUUAAUUGGGCGUUAAGUUGCAGGGUAUAGACCCGAAACCCGGUGAUCUAGCCAUGGGCAGGUUGAAGGUUGGGUAACACUAACUGGAGGACCGAACCGACUAAUGUUGAAAAAUUAGCGGAUGACCUGUGGCUGGGGGUGAAAGGCCAAUCAAACCGGGAGAUAGCUGGUUCUCCCCGAAAGCUAUUUAGGUAGCGCCUCGUGAAUUCAUCUCCGGGGGUAGAGCACUGUUUCGGCUAGGGGGCCAUCCCGGCUUACCAACCCGAUGCAAACUGCGAAUACCGGAGAAUGUUAUCACGGGAGACACACGGCGGGUGCUAACGUCCGUCGUGAAGAGGGAAACAACCCAGACCGCCAGCUAAGGUCCCAAAGUCAUGGUUAAGUGGGAAACGAUGUGGGAAGGCCCAGACAGCCAGGAUGUUGGCUUAGAAGCAGCCAUCAUUUAAAGAAAGCGUAAUAGCUCACUGGUCGAGUCGGCCUGCGCGGAAGAUGUAACGGGGCUAAACCAUGCACCGAAGCUGCGGCAGCGACACUGUGUGUUGUUGGGUAGGGGAGCGUUCUGUAAGCCUGUGAAGGUGGCCUGUGAGGGUUGCUGGAGGUAUCAGAAGUGCGAAUGCUGACAUAAGUAACGAUAAAGCGGGUGAAAAGCCCGCUCGCCGGAAGACCAAGGGUUCCUGUCCAACGUUAAUCGGGGCAGGGUGAGUCGACCCCUAAGGCGAGGCCGAAAGGCGUAGUCGAUGGGAAACGGGUUAAUAUUCCCGUACUUGGUGUUACUGCGAAGGGGGGACGGAGAAGGCUAUGUUGGCCGGGCGACGGUUGUCCCGGUUUAAGCGUGUAGGUGUGUGUUCCAGGUAAAUCCGGUUCACUUUAACACUGAGGCGUGAUGACGAGGCACUACGGUGCUGAAGCAACAAAUGCCCUGCUUCCAGGAAAAGCCUCUAAGCAUCAGGUAACAUCAAAUCGUACCCCAAACCGACACAGGUGGUCAGGUAGAGAAUACCAAGGCGCUUGAGAGAACUCGGGUGAAGGAACUAGGCAAAAUGGUGCCGUAACUUCGGGAGAAGGCACGCUGACACGUAGGUGAAGUGAUUUACUCAUGGAGCUGAAGUCAGUCGAAGAUACCAGCUGGCUGCAACUGUUUAUUAAAAACACAGCACUGUGCAAACACGAAAGUGGACGUAUACGGUGUGACGCCUGCCCGGUGCCGGAAGGUUAAUUGAUGGGGUCAGCGCAAGCGAAGCUCCUGAUCGAAGCCCCGGUAAACGGCGGCCGUAACUAUAACGGUCCUAAGGUAGCGAAAUUCCUUGUCGGGUAAGUUCCGACCUGCACGAAUGGCGUAAUGAUGGCCAGGCUGUCUCCACCCGAGACUCAGUGAAAUUGAACUCGCUGUGAAGAUGCAGUGUACCCGCGGCAAGACGGAAAGACCCCGUGAACCUUUACUAUAGCUUGACACUGAACAUUGAGCCUUGAUGUGUAGGAUAGGUGGGAGGCUUUGAAGUGUGGACGCCAGUCUGCAUGGAGCCGACCUUGAAAUACCACCCUUUAAUGUUUGAUGUUCUAACGUGGACCCGUAAUCCGGGUUGCGGACAGUGUCUGGUGGGUAGUUUGACUGGGGCGGUCUCCUCCUAAAGAGUAACGGAGGAGCACGAAGGUUGGCUAAUCCUGGUCGGACAUCAGGAGGUUAGUGCAAUGGCAUAAGCCAGCUUGACUGCGAGCGUGACGGCGCGAGCAGGUGCGAAAGCAGGUCAUAGUGAUCCGGUGGUUCUGAAUGGAAGGGCCAUCGCUCAACGGAUAAAAGGUACUCCGGGGAUAACAGGCUGAUACCGCCCAAGAGUUCAUAUCGACGGCGGUGUUUGGCACCUCGAUGUCGGCUCAUCACAUCCUGGGGCUGAAGUAGGUCCCAAGGGUAUGGCUGUUCGCCAUUUAAAGUGGUACGCGAGCUGGGUUUAGAACGUCGUGAGACAGUUCGGUCCCUAUCUGCCGUGGGCGCUGGAGAACUGAGGGGGGCUGCUCCUAGUACGAGAGGACCGGAGUGGACGCAUCACUGGUGUUCGGGUUGUCAUGCCAAUGGCACUGCCCGGUAGCUAAAUGCGGAAGAGAUAAGUGCUGAAAGCAUCUAAGCACGAAACUUGCCCCGAGAUGAGUUCUCCCUGAGACUUAGAGUCUCCUGAAGGAACGUUGAAGACGACGACGUUGAUAGGCC
rnacentral:rRNA from 1 species